GGGAUUCCUGAAUGGGGAAACCCACUUACAUAAGUAAGUAUCCUGUUGUGAAUACAUAGCAACAGGAGGCAAACCGGGGGAACUGAAACAUCUAAGUACCCCGAGGAAGAGAAAUCAACCGAGAUUCCGAAAGUAGCGGCGAGCGAAAUUGGAUUAGCCCUUAAGCUUUUAAUGAGACAGAUGAAGGCUCUGGAAAGUGCCGCAAUAAAGGGUGAUAGCCCCGUAAUCGACAUCUCAUCAUCAGUGAAAACGAGUAGGG
rnacentral:rRNA from 1 species